AUGGACUCAAGAGAUUCUAAAGAAGAUGGACCAACAACUAGAAAGAGAAGCGCCAGACAGGCGUCCACGCAAGAUUUAUUUAUUGAGGAUCUUAAACCCAGAACCCCAAUAAAGAGAACCCGGAAAAUGAGGGAAGAUGAUGGAGCAUCCAGAGCUGUCAAUGGAGCCAAGGAGCCCAAGAGUCUCACUGAGGAGGACGAGGAUGAAUUCCCUGCUAAGAAGCUAAAGCUCCAAGAGAAGAGAAGGGUUAUAAAAGAGAAAGGUGAUGGUUUAAACCAAACAGAUGAUGCAAAUAUGGAGAUGAGUGAGAAAGAAGACCAGGAUCAAGAAAUGAACUCCGAUGAGGAGGCUGAGCAGGAGCAGGAGUCUAUUUUGACAGGUUCCUCAGCCCAGCCUGGGACAGAAGAAACGCAUCCUGCCCAUGUAAGGGAAGAAAAUCUGGAAAGUGAAGUGUCACUCAAAAAACAAAGGCCUAUUCAUCUAAAUAUUAAGGUCACUGAAAUACCCAAACACAAAGAAGAAAAUUACAGACCGGUCAUAAAAUGUGGAGAUGCCUCUAGUAUGGAUGCUGUUCAACUGGAACAUCAACAAGAUUAUAGAUUGAGAAAUAGGAAUAACAUGAUCUACCAGAAUCCUGUAACAGCGAAACUCAAAAAUCCCCCUGGUCUUAGCAGUUGGAAUAGACAGCCACCAACUGAACCCCAGAAGAGUUACGUCUACCACAACAAAACUAAUCACAAAUACACAGACUUGAAGAGUUUGCAGAAACCAGUCACCUCAAAAGCAAGUCCGACCUCCUCCUCUAGAGGUAUUUUCAGUAAUUCAUCCAUUCCUUUAUAAUUUACAUUUACGUUUAAUCAUUUAGCAGACGCUUUUAUCUGCUAUCUGCUUUAAUUUAUCUGCUUUAAUUGUUUUAUUAAUUAAAACAAUUGUACCUCUACCAAAUUUUGCUAUAAGUUUGAUUGCAUCACACAGUAAUUGCUGUUAAUAAUGUUCAUCGUCUGUUUGAUUACGUCUUUAAUUGAUUUUUCCGGACAUUUCUGCCAUAUGUACAUUAACUGACAGUCACCACUGAUAAGCUACUACUAAAUAUUGUAGAAACAGAAUUUUCUGUAAAGUUGCUUUGCAACGAUUUGUAUUGUGAAAAGCAUAAAAAUAAACAUAAAAAACAAUCAGAUUUGUUUCAUGUCCACAUUGUUUUGUUAAUUCAGAACUUCGUGUUUUUCUAGGCUGGAUGUUGUACAUAUGCAAGUGGUCUCUGAUACUGACAGGAUUACUUGUUUUGGGUCUUUUUUGUUUUUUUGGUCCUUACACUCCCAUUUGCCUCAAACUGAUGUGGUUCAUUCUAAAUCAGUGGAGAAAUUUGACCUGGAGUUAGCAGCUCUACGAGCUCUUUUUCCCAGUCAGCGCUCAGUGUUCUGGGAGAGGAGUGGGAAACAUCUUAAGAGCCACCUGAAGACGGUCAACCCCACUGAACCAGUCAGCGUAAUUCUGACUGCUGGCCUUCAGGCUGAAAAGACAUUGGGCUGCCUUGCUCGAAAAUUAGCCGGGGUGUACUCUGCUACCCAUAAUGCUUCAAUCUUAGAAAUCAAUGGGAACACCAAAAGAGCACAAGACAGUAAGCAGGUCAAGCUGGAGAUUGAUGAAGCGCUGAGGGAAGCAUUUGAAGGUGAUAAACCUGCAGCUGUUGUGCACCGUUUUGAGGAGCUCCCUCCUGGAUCUACGCUCAUAUUCUAUCGUUACUGUGACCAUGAGAAUGCAGCUUACAAGAAGGUUUUCCUGGUUUUCACUGUGAUGCUUUCGGUGGAUGAAAUAGCCCCGACGACCAGUCUAAGUGCAGUGGAGGACAUGGUACAUGACCAUGUAAAACAGAAGUUUGUCAUCUCAGACGAAUCCACUAUGUUUAAUCAAAUGGAUGUGGAUAAACUGAGUGGACUGUGGAGCAGAAUUUCUCACCUCAUCCUGCCAGUGGCUGCAGAGGAGAAAAUUGAACAGCAGGGAUGUGGGGCAUAACCUCAUGGAAAAUCAUAAGAUUAUAUUACUGUAUUGGGCUGGACAAGUCAUUUUGUAGAGUUUUGAGUUUAACUGGUCUAGUUCAUGAAUGUGCGGACCACAGAAAUGUACAUAAAAGAUCUUAAUUCCAAAGAGGUUUUUUAAAAAAUGUAUUUGUUUAUGAAUGUUUUAUUUUUGUAUUCGCCUACAUUUGGUUCUUUGUUUUCUUUGAUAAUAUGUAUGUGAAGGCAGACACUUGAUCAUAUAAUAAUAAUAAUAAUGAUAAUAAUAAUGCAUUUGGCAUUAUAUAGUAAGCAUUUGGCUUACAAUAUAAAUCAGUAAAUUAAUUGUUGUACAUUCUUUCCCAAGGCCAGAUGUGGUAAUGACUGAAGUUUCGCACUGAUUUUUGAAGUUUAACUUUGAAUUGUAAGCUAUAGGCUCUUUUUACCAAUCAAAAUUUUGUUUGGGUUUGGUGUUAUAUAUUUGCGUGACUAAGAAUAUAAUAAUUCAAAUCGAGUCUAUUUCUUUUCUUGUUGUAUCAUUUUCUUGUUCUCUGGUUAAUGCAUUUUUGUCAUAGUUCCUGUUUUAUCAUUCAAAAGUUUGCGGUGAGAUUUUAAAAAUGUUUUUUAAAUCAGUCUUUUAUGCAAUUAAAAAAAAAACAACAAUGCUGAUUUGGUGUUAAAGUUUUUUUUAUUACAAUCAAUGCUGUAUUUUUAUUACAGUCAAAGUGGUGCUGCUUGAUAUGUUUGUAAAAAAAAACAUGUUUUUUUAGGAUUCCUUGUUGAAUAGAAAACUCAAAAAAACACCAUUUAUUUGAAACCGCAUCCAAAACCAUAUCGCUGCAGUCUGGGAAACUAAAAUGUUACAAAAGAGUACCAGUGUUACUCAGAGACUCCAGAUCCUAUUUUACCGUUUUGGAGAAUGUAUGAGUUAAAGUUAUUAGACAGUGCUUUUUUAUGAUUUAUAGUUAUUAAACAAAUUUUUGAUUAUUUGCUGUCAGCCGCCCCAUCCAACAGUACCAGAUUUCCCCACAUGUGGCUUGGCUGUUUAUUACAAGAAGAAAAACUCUACAGGAAGAGGUCUGUUCAGCCAAAUGAAUGUUAGUUUUGGACUGUAUGAGAAGGAAAAAAAAAUGUAUAACAUCUAACGAGCAUCUGCCUAUUUCUAUUUAGUGGUGGAAAGCAGGACCCCAUUAGGAGUCUCUCCCCAAAAAAAAAUACGAGAUGCGG
rnacentral:lncRNA from 1 species